CCAUAACAUGACUUUGCCGUCACAUUUGAUUGUAAAUUAUCCAGUAGUUUUAUGCAGCAAAAUUCCUUUAAAUGCAUAUGGAGUUUAUAUUUUUAAAGUAUAUCAUACAGCAGAACUUGCGUUUUCUUUUUAGAAUUGGUUGAUAGGGGAUUGCUACUUACAAGAUAGCUCCCGAAUCAAGGGCUAUUACAAUAGAGUUGAAGGGAUCUUCGAAUGUUUUACGGAAGCGAUCACGACUUAAUUGAUUGUUACAUGAUUUCUGUCACCGGUGACUAUGCCAUUUUUACAUUUGUCGUACCUAAAAUGAAAGCCAUUUGAC
rnacentral:lncRNA from 1 species